AAGAAAGAGUACAUUUCCUAUGUAAACAAACACAACCCGGCUUAGAGAGAGAGGAAAGCAGUCUUGUCAACCCGAAAGGAACCCAGCACAUGGUAAUUUUUGUAAUUGAAGUAUCCCAGGGAUUCCAGGGUACAUGAACAAUCCAUAAAACAGGAAUGAGACCACACAAAAACACAACCAUGGCUCCAGGCGGGCACUGUUGAAAAGAAGCAGACUUUUAGCAGUAGGAAGCAGGGAGCUUGCAUCAGAGGAUCUUUGUAAAUGCCCCUCUAAAAUUAAAGUCCUCUCUAAGCUCCUUCCAGGUCUUUUACAUGCAUCGUUGGAUUGCAGUCUCAAGCCUGGGAUUCCAACGGAAUUAACGUCCAUUGAAAACUUACUGUGCUCAAGGCACAGAACGGGGUAGUUUUAUACACAUUCUCCCAUUUGGAUUUUUCAAAGACAACAUCUAAUCAUCCCCAGAGAAAUUUCAGCUGAGAAGACAGGAUGAUGAAGUGCCCUGGGGGCCAGAGUCCAGACAAGUAUUUUGGCACCUCCAAGGACUCGCAGAACACAGAGAGGAAAAGAGAGACCCUGUUAUCUUUCCGCAGGGGUGGCCGUUCAAACUCUCAGAGAUGGAAGUUAAGAUUUCCUUUGGUAUAAGUGGCAGUUUGACUGGCUGCAAGGAGAGCCUCAGUUUGUUUAAUUUGGAGUAAAAUUUUAUGAGUUAAUCUCUAGUGAGGGAAAGCAGCAGUAAACACAGAACAUACUGGUCAUUA
rnacentral:lncRNA from 1 species